AUUGAACGCUGGCGGCAGGCCUAACACAUGCAAGUCGAGCGAGCGGCGGACGGGUGAGUAAUGUAUGGGGAUCUGCCCGAUAGAGGGGGAUAACUACUGGAAACGUUGGCUAAUACCGCAUACUAUCGCAUGAACCUAUAUGGGAUUGGCUAGGAGGUGGGGUAAAGGCUCACCUAGGCUACGAUCUCUAGCUGGUCUGAGAGGAUGAUCAGCCACACUGGGACUGAGACCAGGCCCAGACUCCUACGGGAGGCAGCAGUGGGGAAUAUUGCACAAUGGCCGCAAGCCUGAUGCAGCCAUGCCGCGUGUGUGAAGAGGGCCUUAGGGUUGUAAAGUACUUUCAGCGGGAAGGCGUUACCCGCAGAAGAAGCACCGGCUAACUCCGUGCCAGCCGCCGCGGUAAUUC
rnacentral:rRNA from 1 species